UUGAUUCUUGAAAGCUUUUUGCCGCAGCCCUUUUCGCAUCUUAGUGUGAUCAUGGGGUGUCCCUUUCUCUCUCCCCGGACGCCGUUCCAGUAGUAGCCUUGAUGCCGAUUGCUCGCUUUCAGACUCAUUCCUCGAUUCUUGAUCUCCGCUUGUGUUGAGUGGAGACCGAUCAAAUUAUGUGCGUCAGAUCGUUUGUAUCGAAUGAGACUGUUACGGGAGGAACAUUGCCGCCGACGGUGAUGUCUGCUAGGGCUUGCAAGGGCGAGAUCAAGCUGCCAAGUCGUCUCGGUGAAGUUCAUCUCGAAUGUGAAGUGGACGCAGUCCCAACCGGCGAUCGGGAGCGGAAAGCGCGCCCCUCGAUCUUCAGAUCAAGGUUGGCGACUAGUUCAUAUCUUGAAGAUGCAAGACGCCAAGUUCAAAAUUUUCAUAUAUAGUCACAUUCAGGUUGGCGGAAGUUCGUUCGUCACUAAACUAGUGAAGGUGAUAAGAUCGGCAAGGUUGUUAGCGGUGCAAAAACUAGCAAAUUAUGAUCAUGAAUUAAAGUAAGACUUAAGGGAGGCAGCGGCUUCAAUGUCUUCUUAAGUUGAGAAAAAUGAUCUGUUGUGUCCACCAGCUUUGAAUAUUCGGACUAUAUAUGAAUACAGCAAGUGUCUAAGAACUAAACGGAGGAGGUGA